rnacentral:rRNA from 1 species
GAUGAACGCUGGCGGCGUGCCUAACACAUGCAAGUCGAACGUGAGGGGAUACUUGUAUUCCUGAAAGUGGCGAACGGGUGAGUAACACGUAGGUAACCUGCCGCGUAGUGGGGAAUAACGACUGGAAACGGUCGCUAAUACCGCAUGCGUCUGGGGGCACGGGAGUGCUUUUGGGCAAAGCUUUAGCGCUACGCGAGGGGCCUGCGUCCGAUUAGCUAGUUGGUGAGGUAAAGGCUCACCAAGGCGAUGAUCGGUAGCUGGUCUGAGAGGACGAUCAGCCACACGGGAACUGAGACACGGUUCCGACUCCUACGGGGGGCAGCAGUGAGGAAUAUUGCACAAUGGGGGCAACCCUGAUGCAGCAACGCCGCGUGGGGGAUGAAGGCCUUUGGGUUGUAAACCCCUUUUCUCGGGGAAGAGGAAGGACGGUACUCGAGGAAUAAGUCACGGCUAACUACGUGCCAGCCGCCGCAGUAACAC